GCCCUGGUGGCACAAUCGGUAAGCGCGCCGUACUUAUAAUGCGGAGGUUGUGAGUUCGAGCCUCACCCGGGGCA
rnacentral:tRNA from 1 species